rnacentral:rRNA from 1 species
GACGAACGCUGGCGGCGUGCUUAACACAUGCAAGUCGAACGGACAGGCCCUGCUUUUGUGGGUUGCUCGAGUGGCGAACGCGGGAGUAACACGUGAGUAACCUCCCCUUGACUUUGGGGUAACUUCAGGAAACUGGGGCUAAUAUCGGAUAGGAGCUCCUGCUGCAUGUGGGGGGAUGGAAAGUUUCGGCGGUUGGGGAUGGACUUGAGGCUUAUAAGCCUGUUGGUGAGGUUGUGGCUUACCAAGGCUUUGACGGGUAGCCGGCCUGGGAGGGUGACCGGCCACAUUGGGACAGGGGUAGGGCCCAGAGUCAUUCGGGAGGAAGGAGUGGGGAAUAUAGGACAAUGGGCCGAAGGAUGAUUGAGCAACGCCGCGUGGGAGAAGACGGCUUUCGGGUGGUAACAAGUUUUUGACUGACAAGAAGCGUGAGUGACGGUAAUGAGCAGAGAAGCACCGGUUAAUUACGU